UACGUAGGGUGCGAGCGUUAAUCGGAAUUACUGGGCGUAAAGCGUGCGCAGGCGGUUUGUUAAGAUAGGCGUGAAAUCCCCGGGCUCAACCUGGGAACUGCGUUUAUGACUGGCAGGCUAGAGUAUGGCAGAGGGGGGUGGAAUUCCACGUGUAGCAGUGAAAUGCGUAGAGAUGUGGAGGAACACCGAUGGCGAAGGCAGCCCCUGGGCCGAAUACUGACGCUCAUGCACGAAAGCGUGGGUAGC
rnacentral:rRNA from 1 species